rnacentral:SRP_RNA from 1 species
GCCGGGCACGGAGUUGCGUGCCUGUAGUCCCAGCUACUCAGAAGGCUGAGAUGGGAAGAUCGCUUGAGUCCAGGAGUUCUGGGCUGUAGUGUGCUAUGCUGAUUGGGUGUCCACACUAAGUUCGGCAUCAAUAUGGUGACCUCCUGGGAGCGGGGAACCACCAGGUUGCCUAAGUAGGGGUGAACCGGCCCAGGUCAGAAACUGAGCAGGUCAAAACUCCCCGGCUGGUCAGUAGUAGAUACCACCUGUGAAUAGCCACUGCAUUCCAGCCUGGCCAACAUAGCAAGACCCUGUCUCU